UGUGUGUGUGUGUGACGAACGCGCGUGUGUGUUGCGCGAGCGUGAAACUGGCGUGAACACGUCAUGAAUGAUAUGACAAUUUAAUUAAUAUAUCGUGCCACGAUACAAAGUGCGAAAAGGAAAACGCGUGGCGCGAGCGACUAUUAGCGAUAUCAUUGCAACUUUCACCGAGGUGCUUUCCAAGGAUGAUCCAGUAAAAUUCACUGGACUGUGAUCUCCGCUUGGUAUACAUCUUACAUGUGUAUCACAUAAUUUAGGUCUUUAUAAGGUACGAGAAGGCUAAUAAUUUAAGAAAUACUAUGUUGGGUAAUUCCACUGCCAGUCGACGUGUGAAAGAACAGGGUUCUGUUAAUGGAAUUCAAAAAAGUGCUCAAAGAAGAACGGUUGACGCAACAAUGGAAUAUAGUUCCAGCUAUCCACAAAAUACUUCGAAUUUGGAUCCAGAGCAAUUAACACUUUGGAAACACCCAAUCACAACGUUACAUUAUUUUUUUAGUGAAGUGUUUAUCAAUAUACUUAGUUUAGCGAAGAAAACAAUGCUUUACAAAAGAACAGUUUGCUCUGUAAUUUCCAUUGUAAUGUUGUUUGUUUUGUCAAGCAGAAUCUCUGGUCCACAACAACAGAUUUUUAAGUUGUGGGAAGCUAAGAUUAUAUGGUGGUUAUAUUGGGUGGGACUAGGUGUAUUAUCGAGUGUAGGUCUUGGAACAGGUUUGCAUACUUUUGUGCUAUAUCUAGGACCACACAUAGCGGCUGUUACUAUGGCAGCAUAUGAGUGUGGCGGUUUAAAUUUUCCGGAACCGCCAUAUCCCGAUCAGAUAAUAUGCCCAACGAAAAUUGACCCGGCAUGGGCAGUAGGUAUAUUAAAUAUUAUGAAGAAAGUGCGUGUGGAAGCCAUGCUAUGGGGUGCUGGUACCGCACUCGGCGAGUUACCGCCAUAUUUCAUGGCUAGAGCCGCGAGAAUAAGCGGAAAGAGUCAUAAAAACGAAAAUUUUGAUCAGGAAGAUCUGAAGGAAUUGGAAGCUCUGGAGGCAUUAGAAAACGGAGAGAAUGUAUCGUUUGUGAUGCGCAUAAAAUUGAUUAUGAAACGAUUUGUUGAAAAAGCUGGAUUCUGGGGCAUAUUGGCUUGCGCAUCGAUUCCAAAUCCACUAUUUGACUUGGCCGGUUUGACGUGUGGACAUUAUCUCAUUCCGUUCUGGACAUUCUUUGGUGCGACGCUCAUAGGAAAAGCUGUUGUUAAAAUGCAUAUACAGCAACUAGCAGUAAUCAUAGCAUUUAACGAAGAACUUUUAGACAAAUUUAUUAGUUUGUUAGCCAUCAUACCGUUUGUUGGUGCAAAAUUCCAAGAGCCAUUGAAAAAAUAUUUUAUUGCUCAGAAACAAAAGCUACACGAUAAAUCGUCUAUGGACGGAACAACUACAAUAUCAUGGCUGUUUGAUAAAAUCGUAACAUUUAUGGUCUGUUAUUUCUUAGUGACCAUCAUACACGCGCUAGCACGAAAUCAUCAUCGUAGACGAACCAAACCAUCCGUCGAUUAAAACACGAAAGACAUAGCUCGUAAUUAGAAAUUUGACAUAAGUUCCAUUGCAAACUAUCGCGGUAACGGUAUAAUUGCAACAGUCGAAAAACAUUUCAGGGACACGCGUGACAGUUGAACAUUUAAGGUUUGUUUUUUCUUUGAGUAUACAUGUUCACCAUGUCACAAUUAUAUCCCGUAAACGUCGCAAAAACGUUUGGUCUCGAUUAUGCGGACGUUUACAUGUAUAUACAUAUAGACUGUUCUUUAUAUGAAAUAAGAUAAUUCAUGUACAGUGCAUGAAACGAACAUCCGACUUUGUAACACAUUUGCAUAAUCAUUUGCUAUUCAAGCUUCACUAUUAUUAUAUAGAUAAUGAGAAGUACGUUUUACAGUUUUUCGAGUGAUAAAAAUAUAUGUAAUCAAAUAAAAUUAGUAUCCGGAAA